AGCUCUGCCUGCAGUGCCUGGAUCCCUUGCAAUCGGGCGGGAAAGCCUCCUCAUUCAAAGCCAGCGCCCUCUCCCUCCCUCUCCCGCCCUUUUCCUACAACUUCCCUCCCUUUCUCUGAUAGUUUCGGAUCAUUCUUCCCAAUUUAAAAUCUAUCUUUAAUUAUGAUAACAAACUACUUGAACAGUAUUAAGUUAUUUUUCUA
rnacentral:lncRNA from 1 species